ACGAACUCUGGCGGCGUGCUUAACACAUGCCAGUCGCACGGAAAGGCCCUGCUUUUGUGGGGUGCUCGAGUGGCGAACGGGUGAGUAACACGUGAGUAACCUGCCCUUGACUUUGGGAUAACUUCAGGAAACUGGGGCUAAUACCGGAUAGGAGCUCCUGCUGCAUGGUGGGGGUUGGAAAGUUUCGGCGGUUGGGGAUGGACUCGCGGCUUAUCAGCUUGUUGGUGGGGUAGUGGCUUACCAAGGCUUUGACGGGUAGCCGGCCUGAGAGGGUGACCGGCCACAUUGGGACUGAGAUACGGCCCAGACUCCUACGGGAGGCAGCAGUGGGGAAUAUUGCACAAUGGGCGGAAGCCUGAUGCAGCAACGCCGCGUGCGGGAUGACGGCCUUCGGGUUGUAAACCGCUUUCGCCUAUGACGAAGCGUGAGUGACGGUAAUGGGUAAAGAAGCACCGGCUAACUACGUG
rnacentral:rRNA from 1 species